rnacentral:lncRNA from 1 species
GGCUCGUAGGCCAUAUGCGGCUAGUUUGUCCAAAAUUCUCAAGUGGCCUUGGUCUGAGCCCUUGGAAUUUAAUGGCUUGAUGUGACUAUACGUGAUGCGUAUCUCGAUGUCUUUAUACUGGCUUGAUUUAAAAGGAACACAAGGAAGCUUGUUGUCAAUCUUUUCUAGUUCAAUGGGUGGAGCGGAAGUCAGUUGGGAUGGACUUUGUUGGCUGAAAUAUAAUGAUUUUUGAAGUGGUGUAGAAACCAAGGCAUGGGCUGAAGACCAUCAUCUCACAU